ACCAUCUGUUCAUCAUGUGGACAGAACUUGAGAGAAAUAGGUAAAUGACAGUGGUCAAAGAGCCACUGACUGAGUUCUAGAAAGAAAUUUGAAUUGCCUAAGGAAGAUGGGAAUGUUUUUUGACUGUCACUGUUUGUUCCAAAAAUAGUUGGGUGUUUUACGAAGCAUUUGCUUAGAUCAUGCAAUUAGUGUGCCCCAUAUUUGUCCUUUGAAUGUACUGUGUGGUAAUGUUAUUGUUUAGUGUCAUGGCUAUAAACUAUUUGCUAUUUAUGUGCAUAAAUCAGUUUGGCGUUAUAUAUGUCAUGAUAGCCUAACAUCGUUAGUUUGUAACUGUUGCUAUAUUGAUUUAAAAAUCCUAUAUAAUAAAAACAUAAUAUGUUAAGUAGGGAGGGGACUAUCAUUAGAGCCUGUUAGUUUUUU